AACGAACGCUGGCGGCAUGCCUAACACAUGCAAGUCGAACGAGACCUUCGGGUCUAGUGGCGCACGGGUGCGUAACGCGUGGGAAUCUGCCCUCUGGUUCGGAAUAACUCAGGGAAACUUGAGCUAAUACCGGAUAAUGACUUCGGUCCAAAGAUUUAUCGCCUGAGGGUGAGCCGCGUCGGCUUAGCUAGUUGGUGAGGUAAAGGCUCACCAAGGCGACGAUCCGUAGCUGGUCUGAGAGGAUGAUCAGCCACACUGGGACUGAGACACGGCCCAGACUCCUACGGGAGGCAGCAGUGGGGAAUAUUGGACAAUGGGCGAAAGCCUGAUCCAGCAAUGCCGCGUGAGUGAUGAAGGCCUUAGGGUUGUAAAGCUCUUUUACCCGGGAUGAUAAUGACAGUACCGGGAGAAUAAGCCCCGGCUAACUCCGUGCCAGCAGCCGCGGUAA
rnacentral:rRNA from 1 species